CUCACGCUUCAAACUUAACUCCCCCUCCCAGUCACUGCGCUUUUUCUCUCUAUUUUUUGUUGUGUUUGGCCAUUUCGACUACAAUUUUCGAAUCAGACACAUCUUUUCGUAAAAUUUCUGGUUUCUGGGAUCCGACGAUCAUUUCUCCUUCUGCCUUAUACUUGUCGCUCAAGAUCAACGAUGUUGUUAGCUAUGAUGAUACUGAUGAUGGCUUCUUACACUUCGGCCUUUCUUGAGAUCGUAGACAUAAGACCUUCUGAGAAUAUUAAUUUAGGAAACACCACUGGCAUAACUAUAAUAUGUCGGUAUGAUUUAAGAUAUUUUAUUCACUUUUAUCUCGUGCGAAACGGGGAUGAUGUCAUUUUCCAAAUGAAUUAUUCUUCGAGGGAAAAAAAGUCUAAGGUAGUAAUCAAGCGAAAGGGUUUCCACUGUACUCCAAUUCAUAGUCGUAGAGGUCAGGUUACCUGCUGGAAACUUCAUCUCACUUGCGAGGAUGCGGCAUACUAUACAUGUCGAUCAAAUGAAGAAGUUUCGCAAUCUAGGCGUAUAAAAGUGAGACCUUACGUAAGUAGACUGCAAGUUCUUAACCCACCCAUUGAAGUGGGAAAGACAUUAAUCUUAAGAUGUACAGCCUAUGUCGGUGAAGAUUUUGGUAUUGCUACCUUUGUAUGGUUUGAAAUAACACGCCUUGGAGUAAGUCUAUUGAUGAGACCCGUACACGUUCCACCCCGUGGCAAGUGUUACAAAUCAGUAGUGUCAAGUUAUCGCUAUACUUUAAAAAGAUGGGACGCUGAUACAGCAAACAUCACAUGUUUUCUGAAUGGCAAAACUCUCACUAAACAACUUAUCCCAACAGGAUGGAAACAGAGAGAAAUUGGACAAAAUAAUGCAGAUAAAUUGUGUGGUGCGAAUACUAUUACGAAAUUUUUUAUAUUCGCAACUUACCUGGUUUUUAUUGGGAUUUGUCGUUAAAGAACUAAAAACAGAAUGAAACCAAGAUGUAGACCACUAUUGCUGAUGAGGUUGUUGAAGAUACUCUUGCCCACAUGGCUGUCCACUGCACUGAGGGGAUCAUCCAAAAGUCUGAUCACCUCCAGGAAGAAUGUCAAGGUCAUGCGUCAGUGAGCAGAAGUCAAUGACCUGUUGAUAAGCUUUAGCAUCACAUUUCUUUCCAAAUAAAAUGUUGUCUUUGAUGGUUG